CCUACGGGUGGCAGCAGUGAGGAAUAUUGGUCAAUGGUCGCGAGCCUGAACCAGCCAAGUAGCGUGAAGGAUGAAUGCCCUACGGGUUGUAAACUUCUUUUAUAAGGGAAUAAAGUUGGGCACGGGUGCCUUUUUGUAUGUACUUUAUGAAUAAGCAUCGGAUAAAUCCGUGCCAGCAGCCGCGGUAAUACGGAGGAUCCGAGCGGUAUACGGAUUUAUGGGGUUUAACGGGAGUGUAGAGGGGUUGUUAAGUCAGGUGUUAAAGUGAUGGGCUCAACCGUAAAAUUGCAUUUGAUACUGGCAGUCUAGAGUGAGGGUGAGGUAGGCGGAAUUCGUGGUGUAGCGGUGAAAUGCUUAGAUAUCACGAAGAACUCCGAUUGCGAAGGCAGCUUACUAGACUGACACUGACAUUGAGGCUCGAAAGUGUGGGUAUCAAACAGGAUUAGAUACCCUUGUAGUC
rnacentral:rRNA from 1 species